GAUGAACGCUGGCGGCGUGCCUAAUACAUGCAAGUCGAGCGAACAGACGAGGAGCUUGCUCCUCUGACGUUAGCGGCGGACGGGUGAGUAACACGUGGAUAACCUACCUAUAAGACUGGGAUAACUUCGGGAAACCGGAGCUAAUACCGGAUAAUAUAUUGAACCGCAUGGUUCAAUAGUGAAAGACGGUUUUGCUGUCACUUAUAGAUGGAUCCGCGCCGCAUUAGCUAGUUGGUAAGGUAACGGCUUACCAAGGCAACGAUGCGUAGCCGACCUGAGAGGGUGAUCGGCCACACUGGAACUGAGACACGGUCCAGACUCCUACGGGAGGCAGCAGUAGGGAAUCUUCCGCAAUGGGCGAAAGCCUGACGGAGCAACGCCGCGUGAGUGAUGAAGGUCUUCGGAUCGUAAAACUCUGUUAUUAGGGAAGAACAAAUGUGUAAGUAACUAUGCACGUCUUGACGGUACUAAUCAGAAAGCCACGGCUAACUACGUG
rnacentral:rRNA from 1 species